rnacentral:rRNA from 1 species
UACGUAGGGUGCGAGCGUUACUCGGAAUUACUGGGCGUAAAGGGUGCGCAGGCGGUUUUGUAAGCCAGAUGUGAAAUCCCCGGGCUCAACCUGGGAAUGGCAUUUGGGACUGCAAGGCUAGAGUGUGGCAGAGGAGACUGGAAUUCCUGGUGUAGCAGUGAAAUGCGUAGAUAUCUGGAGGAACACCGGUGGCGAAGGCGGCAUCCUGGACCGGUAUUGACGCUGAGGCGCGAAAGCCAGGGGAGCAAACGGG